UACGGAGGGAGCUAGCGUUGUUCGGAAUUACUGGGCGUAAAGCGCACGUAGGCGGCUUUGUAAGUUAGAGGUGAAAGCCCCGGGCUCAACCUGGGAAUGGCCGUUGAAACUGGCGAACUGGAGUGUGGCAGAGGGGGGUGGAAUUCCGCGUGUAGCAGUGAAAUGCGUAGAGAUGCGGAGGAACACCGAUGGCGAAGGCAGCCCCCUGGGCUGACACUGACGCUCAGGCACGAAAGCGUGGGGAGCAAACAGG
rnacentral:rRNA from 1 species